rnacentral:lncRNA from 1 species
UCCUCCCGUGAAGUCUCCUCCAUCACCGUACUACUAUCAAUCUCCACCCCCUCCGGUGAAGUCUCCUCCACCACCGUACUAUUAUCACUCUCCUCCUCCUCCGGUUAAGUCUCCACCUCCACCUUACUACUACCACUCUCCUCCUCCUCCGGUCAAGUCUCCACCUCCACCUUACUACUACCACUCUCCUCCUCCCCCAGUUAAAUCUCCACCGCCGCCAUACUAUUAUCACUCUCCACCACCACCAGUCAAAUCUCCUCCACCUCCAUACUACUACCAUUCACCGCCUCCUCCGGUGAAAUCACCACCUCCACCUUACUAUUACUCAUCUCCACCACCACCAAAAUCUUACCCUCCACCAUAUUACUACUCAUCUCCACCACCACCACCAAAGUCGUACUCUCCAUAC